AGCAUGUCCAGAAAACAAAGUUAUCAGAGUUCCUUUUUCUGGAUUGUUUGAAAGUUUUUACAAUGAACAUGAAUUAUAUAAUUAGAAAAGAAUAAAGUUAUUGCCACUGAGAAUAAACUAAAACCAAGAAAGCCAAUUAAGCCUUCAGAUUAGUUCAUACAUUCUUUUAUACCUAUUAUGUACCAGGCACUGUGCUGGAGAUGACAAAGAUACAGGCCCCAAUCUGUAGACAUUCAUACUAAUAGGUAAUUGUCCUAAGCUCUAUGAGUGCAUGUGUGGUGCUGUAUGAGCACAGAAGAAAGAAUUUUUGCCUGGGCUUAUAGAGGGCAGGGGACAGGAAUGAGGUCUCUGAAUCAGUGGCACUGGAGAGGGUCUUGAAGGCAGAGAGGUAAGGAAUACAGGCAAGAACUUGGGUCUCAUCAUGGAACAGUGAGACAGGCAGGGUCUCCAGGGAUUCCUGAACUUAACAAUCCCAUGAAGUUCUGGAAUCACCGAGGUCUGAGAACCAGAUGCAGUCCACAGACCUGUUUUGUUUGACCUGCAUUGUUUUACAGCUUGGACCACGUCUCAUAAAACUCCAGAUUCCUGGCUUCUUAAACAUCUGGCAAUACUGUCCCAAUUCCUUCCAGACCGUGAGCAGCUGGGACUGAGAGGCAACCACGCCCUUGGACCCAUCCCCCACGUCACUCCCUUAUCUUACGUCUGACCCCUAUAGGCAUUGAGUCAACGAUUCCUGAUUUCCUCCAGCCCAUCACCCUUGUACAGAUAAGGAAACUGAAACCCAGGGAGAUACGCAUCUCGUCCAAUGGCACCGCUGCGUUGUGACUGAGCCAGGAGUCUUUAGCCCAAACCAAGCCAGACUCAAAGCUGCUGCUUCUUCCCUUAUGUGAUCCCAGUUAAACUCCUGGCCUUGGCUCUCCAUGUAAAGAGAAAACAUAAUCCUAACCGUCUUCACAACUGAUGGGCAAUAUUUUCAUUGUGACUUUUCCUGCAGAGACAUGUAAAGAUAUCACUGAGAGCCAGAGCUGGCUGGCAGAAAAAGCAAGUCAGAUGGCAUCACCGUCCAAGGCCAGGUCUCUACUCCCUGCAAACCAAAACCAUCCUCAAGGACAAAUGGGCAUUUGCGUAAAUUCCUGUUGGACCAGUUUGACUUCAUCUCAGCUGCUGGAUCAAGUUUCUCUAUUUUGGGAAAAAAAAGAAAAGAAGAAGAAGAAAAGAAAAGGCCGCAGACAUAGAGAUUAAUUAGGAAGCUAUUGUAACAGUCCAUGUAAGCUAAGUCUCCACAGUGGCUGCACAGAGGUAAGAAGAGAAAAAGUUGUUUUGUUGUUGUUGUUUUGUUUUGUUUUGUUUUUGUUUUUGUUUUAGAGAUGGAGUCUUGCUCUGUCACCCAGGCUGGAGUGCAGUGGCGCGAUCUUGGCUCACUGCAAACUAUAUCUCCUGGGUUCAUGCCAUUCUCCUGCCUCAGCCUCCCGAGUAGCUGGGACUACAGGCACCCGCCACCAUGCCCAGCUGAUUUUUUGUAUUUUUAGUAGAGACGGGGUUUCACUGUGUUAGCCAGGAUGGUCUCGAUCUCCUGACCUCGUGAUCCACCCACCUCAGCCUCCCAAAGUGCUGAGAUCACAAGCAUGAGCCACCACGCCCAGCCAAGAGAAAAAGUUUAACAAAUAUUUCAAAUGCAGAAUAAAGAGGAGCUGAUGACUGAUUGGCUGGGCAGAGUUAAAUGGGAGGAACCAAUAAUUUAAAAACUACAAGUUGGAAUGACUAGGAAACUGGUCAUCCUUUUAAAUGAGAUGAGCAAGAGAAAACCAGGUCCAGGCAAGAAAGAAGCGAGAAACCAUGAUCCUAACCAGCACUUGUCAAGUCUCUGGUGCUCAUACACCAUGCUUAGUACUUUCUAAGUGUGAUUUCAUUAAAUUCAUCUAAGAACCCAAGAAAACUGAGACACAGGGAAACUAAGUCACUUGCCCAAGUACUUUUGUUGGAAGUACUAAUGUUGGAGGUACC
ensembl:lncRNA